rnacentral:rRNA from 1 species
AGUCGCCGCGGUAAUACGUAGGUGGCAAGCGUUGUCCGGAAUUAUUGGGCGUAAAGGGCUCGCAGGCGGUUUCUUAAGUCUGAUGUGAAAGCCCCCGGCUCAACCGGGGAGGGUCAUUGGAAACUGGGAAACUUGAGUGCAGAAGAGGAGAGUGGAAUUCCACGUGUAGCGGUGAAAUGCGUAGAGAUGUGGAGGAACACCAGUGGCGAAGGCGACUCUCUGGUCUGUAACUGACGCUGAGGAGCGAAAGCGUGGGGAGCGGACAGGAUUAGAUACCCCUGUAGUCCCUGUCUCUUAUACA